UUUUCUUUUUUUUAAAAGUGAGAUGGAUUGA
rnacentral:piRNA from 1 species